rnacentral:snRNA from 1 species
GUGCUUGCUUCGGCAGCACAUAUACUAAAACUGGAAUGUUACAGAGAAGAUUAGCAUGGCCCCUGUGCAAGGAUGACACGCAAAUUCGUGAAGCAUUCCAUAUUUUU